rnacentral:rRNA from 1 species
AAAUAGAUACCCUGGUAGUCCACGCCGUAAACGAUGGAUACUUGUUGUUAGAGGUAUUGACCCCUUUAGUGACGAAGCUAACGCGUUAAGUAUCCCGCCUGGGGAGUACGGUCGCAAGAUUAAAACUCAAAGAAAUUGACGGGGGCCCGCACAAGCGGUGGAGCAUGUGGUUUAAUUCGAUGCAACGCGAAGAACCUUACCUAGGCUUGACAUGUACUGGAAGACUGGCAGAAAUGUCGUCGCCUUCGGGCCGGUACACAGGUGCUGCAUGGCUGUCGUCAGCUCGUGUCGUGAGAUGUUGGGUUAAGUCCCGCAACGAGCGCAACUCCUGCAUUUUAGUUGCCAGCAUUCAGUUGGGGCACUCUAGAUGGACUGCCGGUGUUAAACCGGAGGAAGGUGGGAAUGACGUCAAGUCCUCAUGGCCCUUAUGCCUAGGGCUACACACGUGCUACAAUGGUGGUCACAAACUGAAGCGAAGCCGCAAGGUGGAGCAAAUCGGAGAAAAGCCAUCUAAGUUCAGAUUGAUCU